GUCAAUUCUUGCAGUUGUUUGAACGAGGACUCAGAAGAAAUGGGAGCAAACAAAAGUGUCCACGUUGGAAGAUCAAAGCUAGACGUUGGAGUUGAUUUCACAAGAAGACUAUGUAGUUCUGACAUGCAGAGGCUGUCAAGAUGUCUGUUUUCUAUGGCUACUGGCAGCCUUCGCUUGAAGCAGCCUGGUCUAAUUUAUUACAGUGAUUUGCUAGAUAUGUCGUGGCACAAAGGGCUGCAUGAUUCAGACCUAUUGGUCACGUAUAGGUACCAUAGACCUCGAGAUAUUGGUCCUCCCUCCCUCACCAUUAAGCAUUCAGUUUCACCCGAGGUAAGAAUCCAUGGAAUUCCCAUGAACAGUUUUCGCCAUUCCCAAAGUCAAGGUGUAAGAUUGUCCGAGUUGUCGAUUGGGUUUGAUUAUGUCGAGCCUUCUGAAUCUGAUUCGACCAAAGGCAAAGCAACAGGUGUAUACUUUAAGCGUUUUCACUUUUCACACGAUGGAGGCCGCUCUAUAAGUACAGACCGAGAUGGUUUUCAACUGACUCGAAGUGGAAGUCCAUCUGAUAACGUGAUAGCUGUUAGUCAAGAAUCUCGAUUUCAAGAGGAAAAUGAUAACAGUUUUACUAAUUUUAGUGUCCAAAUGGAACUAGGAACUGCAAUUCCACCAACCUUGUUGACCUACUAUCGGUUUGAAGUUACUGCAGCAAGAGGAAUCAAACUUGGACCAGCAUUGUUCUUCUCACGGAUGAGUGGUGGAACAGUUAAGGGAUCCUUUGCUCCAUAUCAAGCAUUUGCAAUCGGUGGUCCCAGUAGUGUGCGAGGCUAUGGUGAAGGUGCCGUUGGUGUUGGACAAUCGUGUCUGCUAUCCACAACUGAAUUGUCAAUCCCAUUGAGCAAGAAACUAACAGGUGUUAUCUUCCUGGACUGUGGGUCUGACCUGUGGAGUAGUGAUAAAGUUCCAA
rnacentral:sRNA from 1 species